rnacentral:rRNA from 1 species
AUUGAACGCUGGCGGCAGGCCUAACACAUGCAAGUCGAGCGGAUGAAGGGAGCUUGCUCCUGGAUUCAGCGGCGGACGGGUGAGUAAUGCCUAGGAAUCUGCCUGGUAGUGGGGGAUAACGUCCGGAAACGGGCGCUAAUACCGCAUACGUCCUGAGGGAGAAAGUGGGGGAUCUUCGGACCUCACGCUAUCAGAUGAGCCUAGGUCGGAUUAGCUAGUUGGUGGGGUAAAGGCCUACCAAGGCGACGAUCCGUAACUGGUCUGAGAGGAUGAUCAGUCACACUGGAACUGAGACACGGUCCAGACUCCUACGGGAGGCAGCAGUGGGGAAUAUUGGACAAUGGGCGAAAGCCUGAUCCAGACAUGCCGCGUGUGUGAAGAAGGUCUUCGGAUUGUAAAGCACUUUAAGUUGGGAGGAAGAGCAGUAAGUUAAUACCUUGCUGUUUUGACGUUACCAACAGAAUAAGCACCGGCUAACUUCGUG